rnacentral:rRNA from 1 species
CUAGGUACUGCGGAGACAUUAAUGAAGCUUCUACCCCAUCGCGGGCGGGGUCUGUUCUGGCUUUGCAAGUGAACGCCUCCGUCUGUGAAUCAUCCACACACACCUGUGCACCUCCGCGUGGGUUGGGCGGCGUAACACCCGUCUGGCCUGCGUCUUUUCACAAACUCUUGUAUGUCUUCAGAAUGUAAUCUCGAUGCCAUAAAACGCAUCUAAUACAACUUUCAACAACGGAUCUCUUGGCUCUCGCAUCGAUGAAGAACGCAGCGAAAUGCGAUAAGUAAUGUGAAUUGCAGAAUUCAGUGAAUCAUCGAAUCUUUGAACGCACCUUGCGCCCUUUGGUAUUCCGAAGGGCACACCUGUUUGAGUGUCGUGAAAUUCUCAACUCUCCCUCCUUUUGUUAGGAGGGAUGAGAUUGGACUUGGAGGUUCUUGCUGGCCAUUGCGGUCAGCUCCUCUCAAAUGCAUUAGUGCGUCUUGUUGCAACGUACCCUCGGUGUGAUAAAUAUCUACGCUGUGGUCCUACGAUGCUGCCUGUGGGAUGCGCUUAUAACCGUCCUCUGGACAAUUCAUCGAAACUUGACCUCAAAUCAGGUGGGACUACCCGCUGAACUUAAGCAUACAA